rnacentral:rRNA from 1 species
UUUGUAAAUAGCCGCAGUAUCUUGACUGUGCUAAGGUAGCAUAAUCAUUAGUCUUUUAAUUGGAGGCUGGUAUGAACGGUGAGACGAGAAAAAAGCUGUCUCUGGGAUAAAGGUCUUGAAUUUUAUUUUUGAGUGAAAAAGCUUAAAUGAAUUUGGGGGACGAUCAGACCCUUUGGAGCUUUAUUUAUUUCUUACUUACGAUAUUUUUAAAUAUAAAAGGCAGGGAGUAAAUUUUGUUGGGGCGACAGGGAGUUAAAAGUAACACUCUUUUUUAUAAACACUUCUCAGUGGAUAAUUGAUCCUUAGUGAAAGAUUAAAAGAUUAAGUUACCCUAGGGAUAACAGCGUAAUCUUUUUGGAGAGUUCAAAUCGAUAAAAAGGUUUGCGACCUCGAUGUUGGAUUAAGAAAUUAGCAAGGUGCAGAAGUUUUGCUGGAGAGUCUGUUCGACUUUUAAUUUCUUACAUGAUCUGAGUUCA